AUAACAGUUAGAAAUGACUGCUAAUACCGCAUAAGACCACAGCACCGCAUGGUGCAGGGGUAAAAACUCUGGUGGUAUGAGAUGGACCCGCGUCUGAUUAGGUAGUUGGUGGGGUAACGGCCUACCAAGCCGACGAUCAGUAGCCGACCUGAGAGGGUGACCGGCCACAUUGGGACUGAGACACGGCCCAAACUCCUACGGGAGGCAGCAGUGGGGAAUAUUGCACAAUGGGGGAAACCCUGAUGCAGCGACGCCGCGUGAGCGAUGAAGUAUUUCGGUAUGUAAAGCUCUAUCAGCAGGGAAGAAAAUGACGGUACCUGACUAAGAAGCACCGGCUAAAUACGUGCCAGCAGCCGCGGUAAUACGUAUGGUGCAAGCGUUAUCCGGAUUUACUGGGUGUAAAGGGAGUGUAGACGGAGUGGCAAGUCUGAUGUGAAAACCCGGGGCUCAACCCCGGGACUGCAUUGGAAACUGUCAAUCUAGAGUACCGGAGAGGUAAGCGGAAUUCCUAGUGUAGCGGUGAAAUGCGUAGAUAUUAGGAGGAACACCAGUGGCGAAGGCGGCUUACUGGACGGUAACUGACGUUGAGGCUCGAAAGCGUGGGGAGCAAACAGGAUUAGAUACCCUGGUAGUCCACGCCGUAAAC
rnacentral:rRNA from 1 species